AACGCCGGCGGCAGGCCUAACACAUGCAAGUCGAGCGGUAGAGAGAAGCUUGCUUCUCUUGAGAGCGGCGGACGGGUGAGUAAUGCCUAGGAAUCUGCCUGGUAGUGGGGGAUAACGUUCGGAAACGAACGCUAAUACCGCAUACGUCCUACGGGAGAAAGCAGGGGACCUUCGGGCCUUGCGCUAUCAGAUGAGCCUAGGUCGGAUUAGCUAGUUGGUGAGGUAAUGGCUCACCAAGGCGACGAUCCGUAACUGGUCUGAGAGGAUGAUCAGUCACACUGGAACUGAGACACGGUCCAGACUCCUACGGGAGGCAGCAGUGGGGAAUAUUGGACAAUGGGCGAAAGCCUGAUCCAGCCAUGCCGCGUGUGUGAAGAAGGUCUUCGGAUUGUAAAGCACUUUAAGUUGGGAGGAAGGGCAGUUACCUAAUACGUGAUUGUUUUGACGUUACCGACAGAAUAAGCACCGGCUAACUCUGUGCCAGCAGCCGCGGUAAUACAGAGGGUGCAAGCGUUAAUCGGAAUUACUGGGCGUAAAGCGCGCGUAGGUGGUUUGUUAAGUUGGAUGUGAAAUCCCCGGGCUCAACCUGGGAACUGCAUUCAAAACUGACUGACUAGAGUAUGGUAGAGGGUGGUGGAAUUUCCUGUGUAGCGGUGAAAUGCGUAGAUAUAGGAAGGAACACCAGUGGCGAAGGCGACCACCUGGACUAAUACUGAC
rnacentral:rRNA from 1 species